GUCCUUGCCGUAAACGAUGUAUACUUGAUGUAAUUGGGCUCAACCCUGAUUGUGUCGAAGCUAACGCGAUAAGUAUACCGCCUGGGGAGUACGCUCGCAAGGGUGAAACUCAAAAGAAUUGACGGGGCCCGCACAAGCAGUGGAGCAUGUGGUUUAAUUCGAUGCAACGCGAAGAACCUUACCCAGGCUCGAAAUGUAAUGGACGAUACCAGAAACGGUAUUUUCCGCAAGGACCAUUAUAUAGGUGCUGCAUGGCUGUCGU
rnacentral:rRNA from 1 species